CCAUCGGGCACCGGCGUUCUCAGUUCUCAUUCUCGUCUCUCGCUCACUCGGAGACGGUCGGGGGCUAUGACGAGUGUUGCUGAAGGCUCAACGUACUACUGGCUGUAGCACUGGAGUUCGGAUCUUCACUUCACUUCAGUGCAGUGUGGUGUAUAAUCAGUGAUUUAGUUAGUGCAGUGUUGUUGUUAUUCAGUUGGCUAAUUCCAGCAGAGAUAGGAAGAGGAAGAGGAAGAGGAAGAGGAAGGAGCCAACCGUUCACCCACCCGUCCAUCGGCCCCGUCCGUCCUUCCAUCCAUCCAUCCAUUCAGCUGACUGACUCAGCCCCGGGAGUUUCUGUGAUAGUUUGUUCUUUGUGUGUCAAAUUCCUUGGAUAAAACCAGUGCCUCAUUCUGCCUUCUCUCCUGUGCCGCCGCCAACCACACUCGCCAGGUAGGAUAGGGACAAAGGUGGAGUGCGCUAUGUGCGCCGUGCCACCGUGUUUGAUUGUUUUGUUUUGUUUGUUUGAUUUAUUUAUUUGUUUGCUUGUUUAUGGUAAAGUAAUCGUGAGUUGGGCUUGUCUGUUUAUACAUUGUUUUUUGUUGUUGUCUGCCAGUGGUAUUAGAAAUCGUCUGUUGGACUUGUUUUUUUGGUACAUUUGUUCUUUUAUUUGUUUGUUUGUGUGUUUGUUUGUCAAUGGUAUAGAGGUUGCGUGUGUUGGGCUUAUACAUUUGUUUGUUUAUAGUUUGUUAGUUUGUGUGUUUGUUUGUUUGUCAAAUGUAGUACAGUAAUCGUUUGUUGGGCUUGUUUUUUUUAAAUACAUUUUUUGUUUGGUUUUUGGAUUUUUUCGCCGAGUCUUUGGUAUCUCUAGGUAUCGUGUGUUGAGUGUCUAUAUUUAUAUACAUAAUUUUAUUUGUUGUUUUUUGUAUAGUUAUCGUCUGUUUUGUACCUACAUUAAAUUUACUGUUGGUCUAUUGUCCGUUUUAAUUUUU